rnacentral:rRNA from 1 species
GCCAGCAGCCAUGUCACCCUACAAGUCACAGCUGAGAGCCCACUGAAGCUCAGCAGUUGUGAGCCUGGUCGGUACUUGGAUGGGAGACCUCCUGGGAAAAACUACAGUUGCUGCUGGAU